CCUACGGGGGGCUGCAGUGAGGAAUAUUGGUCAAUGGGCGGAAGCCUGAACCAGCCAAGUAGCGUGCAGGAUGACGGCCCUACGGGUUGUAAACUGCUUUUAUACGGGAAUAACGCGCCUUACGUGUAGGGCUUUGCAUGUACCGUAUGAAUAAGGACCGGCUAAUUCCGUGCCAGCGGCCGCGGUAAUACGGAAGGUCCGGGCGUUAUCCGGAUUUAUUGGGUUUAAAGGGGGCGUAGGCCGCAUGUCAAGCGUGCUGUGAAAUGUCCGGGCUCAACCCGGGCCUUGCAGGUCGAACUGGCGUGCUUGAGUCCGCGGAAAGCAGGCGGAAUUCGUCGUGUAGCGGUGGAAUGCUUAGAUAUGACGAAGAACCCCGAUUGGGAAGGCAGCUUGCUGCAGCGGAACUGACGCUGAUGCUCGAAAGCGCGGGUAUCGAACAGGAUUAGAUAAGUAGUC
rnacentral:rRNA from 1 species